GACGAACUGUUCUAACGUUAUUCGGAAUCACUGGGCUUAAAGGGCGCGUAGGCUGUUUGUUAAGCGGGGUCUGAAAUCCCUCGGCUCAACCGAGGAACUGGGCUUCGAACUGGCAGACUAGAGUGAAGUAGGGGUAAGCGGAACUUGCGGUGGAGCGGUGAAAUGCUUUGAUAUCGCAAGGAACACCGGCGGCGAAGGCGGCUUACUGGGCUUCAACUGACGCUUAAGCGCGAAAGCUAGGGUAGCGAACGGGAUUAGAUACCCGGGGUAGUCCCUGAGCGGGCUGGCAA
rnacentral:rRNA from 1 species